CUAGCACGCAGAGGCGCAUGCGCAAAAUUCGGUGCCGCCGAAUGAGAGGUGUUGUCCUCUGGGAGCUGCCAGCGAGCGUUGGUGUCAUAGUCUGUUGUCUAGGACAAUAUUUUCUUCAAGUUCGACGACCUGGAGAUGUUUUUGUGUAGGAAAUGUCUUGGAACUGGUACCUGAGUGUGGAAAGGGAAGACGCCCUGGACUGCUUAACAUAAUGUGCUGGACAAUUAAGGAUCUCAGCACUACACUUACUAUUUUUUCACUUUACUGUGUAUAUUAUAGCUCAACUUAAAAAUAAAGUGAUUGUAACUUCAACGAA